CAUUACUUUCCCUAUUGCGGGGAGGGCAAAUGUCGCCCGGUUACAACAUUCUGCAUUUCCGGCGAACGCGGCGUUGCCGGAUGUAACACAUGUAAAUGCGUACGUCACGGCUGGGCUUGUACAAAAAUUUACUGCGGGUCAUAUAAGCAUAAAGGAGCGGUACCGUGUCGGCUGGCAGGGGACCUGCCACUGUGCCGUUAAAUAUCUUCGGCACUGCUUCCG